rnacentral:lncRNA from 1 species
AGUCUUCCACCCAUUCCUGGAACCAUCAAACGAGUUUGUCGGCUCCUUCGUUGAAGCUUCAAACACAAACUCCUGGUACAUUGUUCUUUCUCUGCUGUCUCCUCCAUUCUCCAACAACGUCGUGCCAGAAAAAUCAUAUAAUCAUUCUUUCUGAUUAUAUAAAGAUGCAAUCAACAUUCGUGUUCCAUCUGUCUGAGCGAUAACUCUGUGCAUCACUCUUAUUCUUUUCAUUAGUAAUCACUUGCAAUUCGAUAAGCAAUGCUCCAUAAUCCGUUAAGCAUCGACUGUAAAUUUGAUUAGAAUCGUUAAUUUUGUGAUCGAUUUAAGGGUUUAGGGUUUUAGGUUAAUUUUGGUCACCGAGAUUAAUGCGCCUUCACUUUCAACCAAUUUUGUAUCUUGGAAUGCCAAUCCCUCGCUUCCGCGGCCAAGCGCUAAUCCGGCUCUGGUAAUACUUUUGUGUGCUUGUGUUCAUACAACGUUGACAAGGAAAAUCUAAAAGGUUAGUAAUCGAUUUCUUACUAAUUCAUACACUACUCUGAAGUCUAUUAGGUUUGUCAAUCAGAUAAUUGUUUUAAUCGAUUCAAUUCUCACAUAUUGAUUUUAGUUCUUUCGUUUUGUUAGUAAAUCCUUUUUGUGAAAUUCUUAAUCUCGAAUCUAUAUAUUUGAGUUGUAAAGCCACUGCAUAUCAAUUUGUAACUGUAUGUUAGAGAUUUUAAAUCUGUCGAAUUACUUUGCAAUAUCCCUCUGUAUUAAGUAAUUAGUCCACACCUUGGAUCCAGUCUACUUACAGUCAUAAUCUUUAUGCAGCUAUGUUGAUGAUUCUCAUUAAUCUGUGAGCUUCUCCAGCAAUGAUUUGGUAUUACCAAACUUUAAUGUCUUUUUAAUCUUGAUGCUCAGAGAACCUUGAUUUGGAUCUGUGUUCGAGUUGCAGGUGUUCUUGCUAAUUUCAGGAACCAAUGGUUAGACUACUCACUUUUGGUUCUCAAUCGUGAUGAAGAUAAAGAUGUUCUUGAAUGAUGAUUUCAGGUGUUCUUAGUGGAUUAUUUUGUUCUUAUUUAUUUAAAAAAAUCAAAAAGAAAUCAAACAGGGGCCAUUUAGUCAUUUCAAUUUAGUGGAUUAUUUUGUUUAGUCAUUUCAAUUUAGUGGAUUAUUUUGUUCUUAUUUAGUGAUUUGUACGUUUCCUGAAAAAAUGCAUAUCAUAGUGAUAAUUUUUGCAUUUUUGUCUAAACAUAAAAACUAAUGCAAUAAAAUCACCUAAUGCGACGUACACAAGCAUAAAAAAUAAAGUGUUGCCGAACAAGAGAGAUUCUCUAGUAUAACAUAUAAAAUAAAAAGAUGUUUGUAAAGGAUUAUAAAAAACAAAAAUCAUACUUAAUUGGAUAUUUGUUAGUUCCAAAAUCCACAAUUAUUUGAUUGAAGAACUUGAACAGACAGUCGAACACCAUUUGAAUUGAGAACCAAAUGAAUUUUUAAGAAAUU